GGGAAUAUAGCUCAGUUGGUAGAGUGCUUGCCUUGCAUGCAGAAGGCCCUGGGUUCAAUCCCCAGCACCA
rnacentral:tRNA from 1 species